UUGACCAAAUUCGACCUCAAAUCAGGUAGGACUACCCGCUGA
rnacentral:rRNA from 1 species